rnacentral:misc_RNA from 1 species
AGUUGGAAUACCUAUUGUAAAAUCCUUGAAUGGCUGAAUGCUAGUAUGCCGAAUUUUAUUGUGCAUCCAACCUAGUAACUGCAAAAAUGAAAUAUUCAGAUGAAGUUGAAUGAUCAUUAACAUCUACGUUAUUAUAAAUUUGGUAGAGUGUGGAGUAUGGACUCACCCUCAUUUUGAUCUUUCUCUUGAGGGUUUGAUGUUAGAUUGCCUUGGUUGUCACAAGGGCUAUUCGGAGAUAGAUUUAGAUAUGCAAGGGAACAGGCUUAAAAAGAAGAUAUUAGGAUCACCAAAGAGCAUAAGAAUGAGGAUCUUUUAAUCAUUGAUUGUUCAAUGAAUUGGAAGUCAGUGGGUGCUAGAAGGGUCUGAUUUGGCUACAGUUGGAGAGAAACAUUUAGAUAGAAACAAGCUUUUAGUUGGCUGUUCUUUGUCAAGAUCAAAUCAAGUAUAAGAAUUGGGGAGCAUUUAGGAGAUCUCAAGUAGUCAAGUCGGGGUGAAAUAUUUGCCAUGCAUUCUUGAGAUGGUUGUACAGAUACAUUAAUGGAUGCACAUUAACUGUUGAUCAAAAUAGGUGCAAUUUGUUGUCACAUUGCAUCUAUUAUGUUGCCAUAUAUUAUUUAAUAUGUGCAUCUUGAUGCACAUGAACAGAUUUUUGUUUGUUGAUGAACAUACAGUAAGUGAGAAGGGACAUAUGAACACAAUAAAAUCUUCAUAAAAAUUUACUCUAUAAAGAAAUAUUUUGUAUCAUGUCUAUUUUAUUAGGUAAUUUGUGAGAUGAAGAAGGGCGCCUUUGCUUGUAGGACCAAAGAAAAAUGUUGUGGGACAGAAGUGAUUGCAUUAUAAUUGAUAUGGGUCAAUGAGUGCUUACGUUAUAAUUUAUAUUCAACAUGGACCCCUGAGGGAAAGGAUGAAUUCUCUUAGCUCCUUAGCAAAUGCUUCUGGUGAGAUAUUUCUAACCGCAUGAUUAUGAUUCCUAUCUAGUACACCGGUACCACUGUGGUCAGUGCAUGUAUUGAUCUCGAGGACUAGCUUGUGCCGUUGUGAUACUCUUAUUGAUAUUAUUUUUAACAUGGUUAUCAUCAUUGACCAUUCUUCCCCGCCCUAAUGCCAUCCUUCUCUUGUGAAAUUCAGGUUCUUUGUAUUUUUGAUUAUAUGGUCGUCCUAAGCUUUUCAUAUUGAAGUAGUGGUGAUAAUUUUGUUUUGCUAAUAGGUAAUAAUGUUCUCAUCUGAACAAGUUGUAAUAUGAAUCAUGUGGCCUGUUUGCUCCCUUGCAGGUAGUCCGGCUACCGGCUGAUUCCGGUCUGUGGAGGAAAUGAACCUGAACUGGACCACAGGUCCUGAUCCGGUUCUUGAUGGUUCCAUUUCCGGUUUGAUUCAGGUCUAGUCAGUCCAAUAGUUGAAAUUUUUCUUUUCAUAUAUAUAUAUAGAGAGAGAGA